AGGGGGUAUUGCACCUACCGAAGACUAUCAAACUCCGAAUGCCGUCAUCUUAUACUUGGGAGUCAGACUGUGGGUGAUAAGAUUCAUAGUCGAAAGGGCAACAGCCCAGAUCGUCAGCUAAGGUCCCUAAAUGUAAGUUAAGUGGUAAAGGAUGUGGGAUUGCACAGACAACCAGGAUGUUGGCUUAGAAGCAGCCACUCAUUCAAAGAGUGCGUAAUAGCUCACUGGUCGAGUGAUCCUGCGCCGAAGAUUUCCGGGGCUAAAACUUACUACCGAAGCUACGGCAUCAGUAAUGAUGGGUAGGGGAGCUUCCCAUACGGGUUGAAGCAUGACCGUAAGGACAUGUGGACAGUAUGGGAGUGAGAAUGUUGGCAUGAGUAGCGAGAUGUGGGUGAGAAUCCCACAGGCCGUAAACCCAAGGUUUCCAGGGGAAGGUUCGUCCGCCCUGGGUUAGUCGGGACCUAAGCUGAGGCCGAAAGGCGUAGGUGAUGGACAACAGGUUGAUAUUCCUGUACUACCGAUAACCGUUUGAGAGAAGGGAUGACACAGUAGGAUAAGCUAAGCACACUGUUGGUUAUGUGUGCCCAAGCAUUGAGGCAGUCAAAGUAGGCAAAUCCGCUUUGAUAAUGCUGGGAUGUGAUGGGGAGCGAAAUUUAGUAGCGAAGUAGCUGAUUUCACACUGUCAAGAAAAGUCUCUAUCGAGGUUAAAGGUACCCGUACCGCAAACCGACACAGGUGGGUGAGGAGAGUAUCCUAAGGCCAGCGAGAGAACUGUUGUUAAGGAACUCGGCAAAAUGACCCCGUAACUUAGGGAUAAGGGGUGCCACCAUCAGGUGGCCGCAGAGAAUAGGCCCAAGCGACUGUUUACCAAAAACAUAGGUUUCUGCUAAGUCGCAAGACGAUGUAUAGGAGCUGACGCCUGCCCGGUGCUGGAAGGUUAAGGGGAUCUGUUAGAGCAAUCGAAGCAGUGAACUUAAGCCCCAGUAAACGGCGGCCGUAACUAUAACGGUCCUAAGGUAGCGAAAUUCCUUGUCGGGUAAGUUCCGACCCGCACGAAAGGCGUAACGAUUUGGGCACUGUCUCAACAACAGACUCGGUGAAAUUGUAAUUCCGGUGAAGAUGCCGGAUACCUGCGACAGGACGGAAAGACCCCAUGGAGCUUUACUGUAGCUUGACAUUGGGUCUUGGUACUACAUGUACAGGAUAGGUGGGAGGCUUUGAAACCAGGACGCCAGUUUUGGCGGAGCCAUCCUUGG
rnacentral:rRNA from 1 species